rnacentral:rRNA from 1 species
UUUGCUCCUUUGACGUUAGCGGCGGACGGGUGAGUAACACGUAGGUAACCUACCUAUAAGACUGGGAUAACUUCGGGAAACCGGAGCUAAUACCGGAUAAUAUUUCGAACCGCAUGGUUCGAUAGUGAAAGAUGGCUUUGCUAUCACUUAUAGAUGGACCUGCGCCGUAUUAGCUAGUUGGUAAGGUAACGGCUUACCAAGGCAACGAUACGUGAGCCGACCUGAGAGGGUGAUCGGCCACACUGGAACUGAGACACGGUCCAGACUCCUACGGGAGGCAGCAGUAGGGAAUCUUCCGCAAUGGGCGAAAGCCUGACGGAGCAACGCCGCCUGACUGAUGAAGGUCUUCGGAUCGUAAAACUCUGUUAUUAGGGAAGAACAAACGUGUAAGUAACUGUGCACGUCUUGACGGUACCUAAUCAGAAAGCCACGGCUAACUACGUGCCAGCAGCCGCGGUAAUACGUAUGUGGCAAGCGUUUAUCCGGAAUUAUUGGGCGUAAAGCGGGGCGUAGGCGGUUUUUUAAGCCUGAUGUGAAAGCCUACGGGUCAACCGUGGGAGGGUCAUUGGAAACUGGGAAACUUGGCUGCACAAAAGGGAAAGUG